ACAUACAUUUCGCAAAAGAUAACCAAUGCUUUUUUUGUACCUUCCCUACAGAGAACCACUGAUAGAUACAGAAGGACUGAACUAAAAAUGCACUCGAAGACAAGAAACACAAGCAGUCUCCUACAGAAAGCAAAUCGAGAGCUCAUCUGAAAUGGAAAUGACCUAACCACACAAAGUUCUGCACCUGAAGAUGAAGUCUUCACCUUCCCAGAUCCAUCCUUUUACUUUUAGGAAUCUUCACUGUUUUUAGCCCAGUUCCAGGGCUUCUCGUUCUCACUAUAUUUCCUACUAAUCAUGAGCCUCCCUUUGCUUUUCUCUGGAAGUCACAAGAAUACAGACCCUACCUGGCCCUUGCCUUGUGAAUAUGGAUGGAGUCUAAGAAUUUACAGGGAGUAAUAAUUUCCCAUGAGCAGUGCAAGAUUGUUAAGAAACUCAAAUUUUAGGAAGGAAAGCAUUAACUUGCAUUCUACAGAGCUUACAGAGUUAUAAAGAAUAAUAUCCAUAAAAAAAAAUAAUAAUAUCCAUUCCAGUCGAGGCAGGAAUGUAAAUAUUUUGUUCAAUUAGCAUUCUUUAAUAAAAUGGUAGUGAAAAAUAAAUAGAAAAUUGAGCUGAAGUGUGUGUGCUUGAGUUUACAGCUUUAGUUCUAAUAACGUGACCUUAGUAUUAUAUGCUGGGCAAUGUCUCUGCAUGGUCUCAUUUAUUCCUGCCGCAGCAUCAUAAAGCAGUGCCAUCACACAUACAUCACAGACGAGGGCCCCAGGAUUAAGGCACUGAAAUCACAUCCCUGUCACUCUCCUUUUCUGAUGUUCUGCUAUGGCAAGUCUUUUUGGAUCAUUUGUGGAGCAGAAGAGGGCGUGGGUUUAAAUUAAUGGAGUUAAUAAUAGUUUGAUAACUAUUUCUAUUGUAAAUUGAGAAUUAAAAGUUAAAAAAAA